rnacentral:rRNA from 1 species
AUUGAACGCUGGCGGCAUGCCUUACACAUGCAAGUCGAACGGCAGCGCGGACUUCGGUCUGGCGGCGAGUGGCGAACGGGUGAGUAAUACAUCGGAACGUACCCUGCUGUGGGGGAUAACUAGUCGAAAGAUUAGCUAAUACCGCAUACGACCUGAGGGUGAAAGUGGGGGACCGCAAGGCCUCACGCAGCAGGAGCGGCCGAUGUCUGAUUAGCUAGUUGGUGGGGUAAAGGCCCACCAAGGCGACGAUCAGUAGCUAGUCUGAGAGGACGAUCAGCCACACUGGGACUGAGACACGGCCCAGACUCCUACGGGAGGCAGCAGUGGGGAAUUUUGGACAAUGGGGGCAACCCUGAUCCAGCAAUGCCGCGUGUGUGAAGAAGGCCUUCGGGUUGUAAAGCACUUUUGUCCGGAAAGAAAUCGCGCUGGUUAAUACCUGGCGUGGAUGACGGUACCGGAAGAAUAAGCACCGGCUAACUACGUG